rnacentral:misc_RNA from 1 species
GAUGAAGAACGUAGUGAAAUGCGAUAAGUAGUGUGAAUUGCAGAAUUCAGUGAAUCAUCGAAUCUUUGAACGCACAUUGCGCCCCUUGGUAUUCCAUGGGGCAUGUCUGUUCGAGCGUCAUUUGUACCUUCAAGCUUUGCUUGGUGUUGGGUGUUUGUCCUGAGGGACUCGCCUUAAAGUAAUUGGCAGCCAGUGUUUGGUUUUGAAGCGCAGCACAAGUCGCGAUUCAAAGCUAUACGCCCGCUUCCACAAGCCUUUUUCACUUUUGACCUCGGAUCAGGUAGGGAUACCCGCUGAACUUAAGCAUAUCAAUAAGCGGAGGA